rnacentral:lncRNA from 1 species
ACAUUGGGAAAGGUGCCGAGACAUGAACUUUGGUCUUCUCUGCAAUCCAUCUGGAGCAUUCACUGACAACAUCGACUUUGAAGUUGCACUGACCUGGCCAGCCCUGCCACUUACCAGGUUGGGCUCUUGAGUUUCUGCUUUCAAGUGACCCUCAGAAAUUCCUCCAUUCACUGCAGAGGUUCUGUUUCUCCUUGCUUUGUUCUGACUUUACGGCAGAACUAAGCUAAUGAGUUAGUUACUAUGGGUUAUCACUUGGAUUUGAAGAACCAUCAUUUCUAGGCAUUGCUGCUCAGAGUGGGUCUGCCCUCAGGGGAAGCUGUCUAACCAGAGCCUAACCCACUAGGGUUUUAUCAGAACCUAACUGACCUGAGGAAAAGAAAUACUCAACUCCAGCAAGCUCCAGCCUUCCAAAUGGAGGAGGAGAAAACCCAACUCCAGCCCACUUCAGCUAUCUUGUCCCACAUAAAGGGGAAGUGGAAGAAACCUGAGAAGCAGGCAUGAAGUUCACAGUCCAGAGGUACAGACACAUCAGAGUUCAGUAUCUGAUGAAUUAGAUGCAAAAACCUCAACAAAGUAUUAGCAAAUUGAAUUCAACAAUGUAUGAAAAUUAUUACAUGCCAUGACUAAUUGGAAUUUAUCUCAGGUAUACAAGCCACGCUGAACAUCUGAAAAUCAAUUCAUGUGAUCCAUCACAUUAGCAGACUCAAGAAAAAAAACCACAUUAUCAUAUCAGUAGAUGUAGAAAAAAAAAAUUAACAAAAUCCAGCACCCAUUCACAAUGAAAAUGCCCAGUAAAUUAGAAAUAGAAGGUAACUUCCUCAAAUUGAUAAGGAAUAUCUCUAAAAACCUACAACUAAAAUCAUACUUAAUGGUAGAAAACUAGAAGCCUUCCCAGUAAGAGUAAGAACAAGUCAAAGAUGUAUGCUCUCACCAAUGCUUUUCAACAUCAUAUUGGAAGUCCUAGCUAGUGCAAUAAGCAAAAAAAAAAAAAAA